AGGACGAACGCUGGCGGCGUGCUUAACACAUGCAAGUCGAGCGGAAAGGCCCUUCGGGGUACUCGAGCGGCGAACGGGUGAGUAACACGUGAGCAACCUGCCCCUGGCUCUGGGAUAGCCUCCGGAAACGGGGAUUAAUACCGGACAUGACCCUUGACCGCAUGGUUGGGGGUGGAAAGUUUUUCGGCCAGGGUGGGGCUCGCGGCCUAUCAGCUUGUUGGGGGGUGACGGCCCACCAAGGCGACGACGGGUAGCC
rnacentral:rRNA from 1 species